rnacentral:rRNA from 1 species
UACGUAGGGUGCAAGCGUUGUCCGGAAUUAUUGGGCGUAAAGAGCUCGUAGGCGGCUUGUCACGUCGGCUGUGAAAACCCGGGGCUCAACCCCGGGCCUGCAGUCGAUACGGGCAGGCUAGAGUUCGGCAGGGGAGACUGGAAUUCCUGGUGUAGCGGUGAAAUGCGCAGAUAUCAGGAGGAACACCGGUGGCGAAGGCGGGUCUCUGGGCCGAUACUGACGCUGAGGAGCGAAAGCGUGGGGAGCGAACAGG